rnacentral:rRNA from 1 species
UACGAAGGGGGCUAGCGUUGUUCGGAAUUACUGGGCGUAAAGCGCACGUAGGCGGAUUGUUAAGUGAGGGGUGAAAUCCCAGGGCUCAACCCUGGAACUGCCUUUCAUCCUGGCAAUCUAGAGUUCGAGAGAGGUGAGUGGAAUUCCGAGUGUAGAGGUGAAAUUCGUAGAUAUUCGGAGGAACACCAGUGGCGAAGGCGGCUCACUGGCUCGAUACUGACGCUGAGGUGCGAAAGCGUGGGGAGCAAACAGG